AAGAUAACCCACGAAGAAGAAGCUUUCACGAGAGAAGCGGAAAGUAACGGAGAAAGAGGCGAACAGCAGAACGACUUUCGUUUUUACAAGUUUUGUACGCUAUUUAAUUGCUAAAUACACGUUUGAGCGGUUUUGAGGCGAGAAAUCAAUUAUGUAGAAUUUGAAUAUUGGCAGUUUUACCAAAGUCGAUGGCGAAUCGAAAAUGUGCUCAAACGUUUUCGGGGUUGAGAAGCUCCACAAGUGCCCGCGAGGUUAGCGGUGCCAGUCACGCCCACAGAGCCUGGUCCCAGUUACUCAGACCACUGCAGCAGUAACAAUAUGUUCAUUUAUUUGUGGCGGGCUGCCACAUACUGAUUUUUUUUAUUUUAUUUUACUAGGCCUAUUUAAAAUCUUUUUUGAUUGCAGAUGAGCACCGUUGGAGGUACCAGAUGUGCUCGGGUGGUUAUAUCUGCUCGGGGGCCUGCGCCUGCUGGUAACGUCACAGGACCUGGCCAAGUUAAAUGGAAAGGAUCUAGGGUGACGUGUGUAAAGUUUUCUUCCUUUCUAAGGGUGCGUUCCGAUCGCCCUGUAGUUCCCUGCUAAGUGCACUGCACAGGGUAUUCGGCCAUUUUAAGUGAGAUCCAAACCGCAGGGAGCACAACAUGUUCACUGCAAAGGGCACUGUGAACUGUGUAGGGAAGAAGGGAACAACGGUUCAUCAGUUCGCAGGAAGUUGACAAGAAAGAUUACCCAUAAGCCUUUGCGCCUCAUAGGAGCUAACAAUAGAGCAGACCACAGAGUUUGUAUCUGUAAUUAUUGUCAUUGUAACUAAUGUUAUCGUUAUUUAUAUGAUUAUUUCAGAGGUUAGGUUACCUAAUAACAACAAUGCUCAUAUGAAUCUUUUUAAGAAUGACGCUGCGUAUCUUGUAAAUUAAUCCAAUCACAUUCAUUCACAAGUUACAUAUAUUUUAAUAGAAUAUAAAUAGAAGAAGUUAUGGAAAUAUAAGUUUUGUAAUUGUAUCAGUUUGUUUUAACAUAUAUUCAAUAUUUAAUUUCAGUAGCGGAUAUCCGAGGUGUUUACAUUACCAGGGUAACACACGGCGGAACUGACGUGUGCUUUGAUGAUGUUGCAGGGUGUUCCGAAUGGAAGAAUUUUAUCGAGGGAAGUUCCCUUAACCAACAUUUCCUGAGAAGGGAGCAGGGAGUACUGUUACACACUGUGGAUCGGAUCGCAGCCUAAGUAUCAAGGAUGUUCGUUUACGCUCAGCUGCCAAUUCCACACCUGCGCAAUGUAUACCACAGGCGCUCUCGCGCAUCAGUGGACAUGGUGAUAAGCUGCUCUCCCUGUAAGAUGCCAUCCCACGUCUGGACAGGCCCCCGGCAUCGCACCGGCACUGUCCCCUCUCCGGACUCGAUUUUGGUUCGCAGGUGGCUGCGGUGCUUUCUCAUGAGGUGUCGGCUGCUGUGUACUGCCAACACAACACAUACAUACAAAAUAAACCAGGUCAAAAAAGACAUCAGCUAAACUAAGCUGGAAACAGUCAA